UUCCCUCUUGGCGCGGAGGUUUAACUGCGCUCGUUCCCCGUAUCGGUGUGGGCGCACCGGAUUUAUAAAUCAAAGUCCUUUAGGGAACGGAAAGGAAC
rnacentral:ncRNA from 1 species